GGAACAAUGGAGGAAGUACACUUGCUAACACUACUCCAGCUAGUUUGGGGAUGGUGAGGCCGUACGCUGCCACGUUACCGGUGGGGAAUGCUACUGAUCUGGCUAGUCAUAUGGGGAUGAGGACGGGAGGAAUGAUUGGUAUUGGGGAUCAGGUGAGUAAUGGAUUGAUGAAUGGGAUGGUCGGGCUUGGAGGUGGGGGGUUGACGGUUGCGACAGGGUCACCGGUGAACCAGACGUCCUCGGACGGGUUACCGCGGGGUAACGGGGACCUUUCGUCGCUUUCCCCUGCUCCGUAUGUGUUAGGCAGCGGGAUGAGGAGGAAGUCCGGUGGGGUGGAGAAAGUAGUUGAAAGGA
rnacentral:misc_RNA from 1 species